rnacentral:pre_miRNA from 1 species
CGGGGGAGGCUGGAUCUUGGGUUGUGUCCCGGCGCCCUGUGCUCCGGGGCCUGCGCUGUUGGAUUCGCGCUCCCCCGCCGCGCAACCCCCU